rnacentral:rRNA from 1 species
UGAUUGGACCGGCGUAAAGAGUGGUUAAUAGACAAAUAAACUAAAGCCGAACUCCCUCAGGGCAGUUAUACGCUUAUGAGGUAAUGGAAGCCCCCCGACGAAAGUGGCUUUAACCCUAUGACCCCACGAAAGCUAGGGCA